UCAAAAAAUAGUACAACUGGCCAACCCAGAAAAUAAAGGAGCCCAAAAAUAAAAAAAUAAAAUAGUUAAAAACACCUACCCACAAAAAUUAUCCACUGAAAUAACUAGGGCUCUAGGUAACCCACAAAUGGUUGACUAAAGUCGCAGCUCAGAUCGAAAAUAGUGGCUUACAGCCCAAGUCAACUGGAAUAAAUUAAGGGCCUAAACCAAACAGCCUAUAAAAUAAUAGACUUAGCCCAAACUGAACAACCCAUACAACUAACACACGCAGCCCCAAAUCAACAGACUCCGCUGCACAAACCAAAUCCGUCGUCCACUGCUGCUGGAGAAUGGAGUCAGCCGACCAAAUUACGAGCUCCGAACGCUACCCAGUCUUCAACAGAUAGCACCACAAGAGCACCCACUUACUGCAACUGCUGAAUCACCAUGAAUUCACUACAGAACCGACGGAGGAGUUCUAAUAGACACUGCACAAGCACUAGGCUUUUCGACAGAACGCUUUAGAUCUACUCAACUGGAGAUGCCGUCGUCAAUUGACCGCUCGAUUCGACAAUGCUUGAAACACGCUUCCAUCCAUUUUUGAUGAGCUUCAGGUGGUGCCCAUUGCCAGCCUCCCAAAUGGUCGUCCUUUCUGCCCUCUCUUCGACUUUAAACAGGAAGUAUGUUUUCUAACUAUUUUCAUUGCCUUCUAUAAUAAUAAUAUUACUAUUUCCUGGCUCUUCCCAAUAUUGAGAAGAUUCAGUGUGUUCAUGCAUUUCACUGCAUACUUGCCAGAAGUUAUUCUUCUGGCAAUUAUUCUUCAAAAUGGAGUAUGGCCUGUUCAUGGUACCUUUGGUAUUGAUGAUAUGUUGCAACAGGUGUGACAUGUCCAGCAAGUCUGAUUGGAUUUAUAAAUUAGUCGUAGCAUAUUUUUGCCAACAAAAACAUUGCUAUAAAAAGGCAAAUCGCAAAAUUGUCCGCGUCUAUUAGCCUUUUGUGGCAUAUUUGCAACUUGAAGGACUGAAAAAUAUAAAUAAAAUGAUUGUGCAAGGGUUCUA